CCACAGCUGCAACCGCACAUGAUAGGUUCAAGCAUAGCACCUAGCGUGGCGAGUCUAAGAAUGGAG
rfam:Lactobacillus mellis strain Hon2 genomic scaffold Hon2_scaffold1, whole genome shotgun sequence.